rnacentral:rRNA from 1 species
GAUCCUGGCUCAGAUUGAACGCUGGCGGUAUGCUUAACACAUGCAAGUCGAACGGUAACGAAGAGCUUGCUCUUUGGCGACGAGUGGCGGACGGGUGAGUAAUAUAUAGGAAUCUGCGACAGUGGGGGAUAACUUCGGGAAACCGAAGCUAAUACCGCAUAAUCUUUACGAAGGAGUUGGCCUCUCCAUGGAAGCGAACGCUGACAGAUGAGCCUAUAUUCGAUUAGCCAGUUUAAGGUAAAAGCUUACCAAGGCGACGAUCGAUAACUGGUUUGAGAGGAUGACCAGUCACUGGGACUGAGACACGGCCCAGACUCCUACGGGAGGCAGCAGUGGGGAAUAUUGGACAGGGCGCAAGCCUGAUCCAGCAAUACCGUGUGUGUGAAGAAGGCCUAAGGGUUGUAAAGCUUUCGCAAGUGAAGAAAUGGUUUGCAUUAAUAGUGUAAACAGCUGACGUUAACUUAAAGAAGCACUGGCUAACUCCGUGCCAGCAGCCGCGGUAAUACGGAGGGUGCGAGCGUUACGGAAUUACUGGGCGUAAAGCGCACGUAGGCGGACUGAUAAGUUGGAUGUGAAAUCCCGGCUUAACCUUGGAACUGCAUUCAAAACUGCCAGUCUAGAGUAUAUGAGAGGAUAGUGAUUCCAGGUGUAGCGGUGAAAUGCAUAGAGAUCUGGAGGAACAUCAGUGGCGAAGGCGUAUCUGGCAUAAUACUGACGCUGAGGAGCGAAAGCGUGGGUAGCAAACAGGAUUAGAUCCUGGUAGUCCACGCUGUAAACGAUGAGAACUAGCCGUUGGUACCGAUUAUAGGUAUAUGGCGAAGCAAACGCGAUAAGUUCUCCGCCUGGGGAGUACGGCCGCAAGGUUAAAACUAAGGAAUUGACGGGGGCCCGCACAGGCGGUGGAGCAUGUGGUUUAAUUCGAUGCAACGAAGAACCUUACCUGCCCUUGACAUCCAGAGGAUCUGAUAGAGAUAUUGGAGUGCCUUCGAACUCUGAGACAGGUGCUGCAUGGCUGUCGUCAGCUCGUGUCGUGAGAUGUUGGGUUGUCCCGUAACGAGCGCAACCCCUAUCUCUAGUUGCCAUCAGUUCGGCUGGGCACUCUAGAGACUGCCGGUGACAAACCGGAGGAAGGUGGGGAUGACGUCAAGUCAUCAUGGCCCUUGGGCAGGGCUACACACGUGCUACAAUGGUAAGUACAGAGGGUUGCGAUACGGCGACGGAGCUAAUCUCAGAAAACUUAUCGUAGUCCGGAUUGCAGUCUGCAACUCGACUGCAUGGUCGGAAUCGCUAGUAAUCGCGAAUCAGAAUGUCGCGGUGAAUACGUUCCCGGGCCUUACACACCGCCCGUCACACCAUGGGAGUUGGCUGCAAAAGAAGUGGGUAGUUUAACCUUGGGGGACGCUCACCACUUGUGGUCAGUGACUGGGGGAA